rnacentral:rRNA from 1 species
CCUACGGGUGGCAGCAGUGGGGAAUAUUGCGCAAUGGGCGAAAGCCUGACGCAGCGACGCCGCGUGAGGGAUGAAGGUCUUCGGAUCGUAAACCUCUGUUAGCAGGGAAGAACGGUCACUGUGCUAAUCAGCAGUGAAUUUACGGUAUCUGCAAAGGAAGCACCGGCUAACUCCGUGCCAGCAGCCGCGGUAAGACGGAGGGUGCGAGCGUUAAUCGGAAUUACUGGGCGUAAAGCGCUCGUAGGCGGUAUGUCAAGUCAAGGGUGAAAUCCCCGCGCUCAACGUGGGAACUGCCUUUGAAACUGGCAGACUGGAGUGUGUGAGAGGAUAGUGGAAUUCCAGGUGUAGGAGUGAAAUCCGUAGAUAUCUGGAGGAACAUCAGUGGCGAAGGCGACUAUCUGGCACAUAACUGACGCUGAGGAGCGAAAGCGUGGGUAGCAAACAGGAUUAGAUACCCUUGUAGUC